CUCAACAUUGUAAUAUUUGGAAUACAGUGGUAACUCUACUGACGAACGUCUCUUCAUACGAAAUUUUCAAGUUACGAAACGCCUCAACAGGAACAUAUUGCCUCUUGUUACGAA